GAAAACUUUUAUUUACACAAAAAAAACAUGGCUAAAGCUUCAACCAUUCUUUUGUAUUUGGCCAUUUUAUUGAUCUUUUCAUCUGAUGUCAUUUUGAUGGGACAAGCAUGUACUUUGGCAUCAGAGUGUCCAUCUCGAUGUAGGGUUGGAAUUCCACAAUGUGUUGAUGGUGUGUGUAUUUGUUGUGUUGGUCCAACAUGUCAAGGUGAUCAACAAAACAUUAAUCUAGGUCAAAUAUUAUGAUCUUACAAGAUUAUUAAAGCUUUUUAGAGCUUAUUAUAUGUCAAUCCAACAUAUGAUUAUUGGACAUUAAUAAAGAUUAUUAUUAUAGUU